rnacentral:rRNA from 1 species
GUCGGCAGCCAUAUCUCCCUGCAGCCCAAGACUGGUUGCCCACUGAAGCUAAGCAGGGUUGAGCCUGGACAGUACCUGGAUGGGAAACCUCCUGGGAAAACUAGGUUGCUGCUGGAA